UACGGGGGGGGGCAAGCGUUGUUCGGAAUUACUGGGCGUAAAGCGUGCGUAGACGGUUAUUUAAGUCGGGUGUGAAAGCCCCGGGCUCAACCUGGGAAUUGCAUUCGAGACUGAAUAGCUAGGGUACGGUAGAGGGAAGUGGAAUUUCCGGUGUAGCGGUGAAAUGCGUAGAUAUCGGAAGGAACAUCAGUGGCGAAAGCGACUUCCUGGACCAGUACCGACGUUCAGGCACGAAAGCGUGGGGAGCGAACAGG
rnacentral:rRNA from 1 species